CACCGCGGUUAUACGAGAGGCCCAAAUUGACAGACACCGGCGUAAAAAGUGGUUAAUACUAUCUGAUACUAAAGACAAACACUCUCAAAGCUGUUAUACGCACUCGAGAGCAGGAAGCACCCCCACGAAAGUGACUUUAAACACAACACCCACUAAAGCUAGGGAA
rnacentral:rRNA from 1 species